CUUUAUUAAUGAAUAAUAAAAAUAUUUUUGCAUUUCUCAUCCAGGGAAUAUAAUGUGCACUUUAAUAAAUUAAUCUCAAAGAAAUAAUAAUGUUAACAUUGUCAAGCUUUAAGGCCGAGUAGUGUAAUAAAUUACUGUUCAAGCAGUAGCAAAGUUGUAUUAAUAGCCAUGAAAGGCAUAUGAAGCUACAUUAUUUAAGUGAACUGGAUGCCCCCCAAAAAACUGCACGUUGCUGCAGGCUAACGGCAAACAGGACAGUUUUAGCUCUGCCAAGAACGAAAGAAAACGUUUCAUAUGCGAGAAAGGCACCCUGAAGCAAUUUGCAGAUUGCAAAAAACGUUGCAUGCUUUGUGAGGUUCAGCUUGCGUAGUCUUUUCCUCGUGUUCAAUUUCUUGCUUUGAAAUUAACAGAACGUUUUGACUGGGCCUUUUUUUUUCAAUAACUAUGACAAGUCUAUUCCAAUAUUAAGCAUCAAACUACCAUCUCACAUUUUUCGGGCUCCUCAAACCCCAAAAACCACAAACCGUGCUUUCAUCACAACAGCUUCUGCACGGGCUGUAGAAUAUUUAAGUGUCACAACAUCGGCAUUUGUUAGGAGAUAAAACUUAUUUAUUAUUAUUACUUAGUAUAUUCUACUACAGAAUAUUCAUUUGCUAUGCGAUGCACUUACUCCCCCUUCAAAACAAAAGGGAAUAUUACUGCAAAUUAACAACAAUAGAGGGCGCCGUUAACAUGUCAAAACACAUUUCUUUAAGACUGCCGUGACGGCGUGACCUUUCAGACGUAAACAUGCAAAAACAAAAAUGAACUGACACGGUUUUGUGCUUAAUUCUCACCCCGAGCAGUUGAAACAGAGUGUAUCCAAAAAAGUAUUUUCCAUAAACCCGCCAGUGAAAAUGGACUAAAGAACAUGCACAUUUUUUAAAAAGCUACUUGCCUAAAUGGUUAAAUGGGGUCAUUAUAGAGGUCACACGUCCUCUCUCGUCUACAUAGAUGAAACGUCGUUGACAUGUCAGCAGCAGAAUUGGACACACGGAUCACAUGACAACAUAAAGAACCGUGCGUGUGCGGUACGUCGUAACCAUGGUUUCCCCCGGGGAUCCGACCCGUUGCCACCCGGCAGCACCGCUCUGCCUCUACGUCGGCUGGGUGGAGGCCAUCAUCACCCCAACAGACUGCCGAUCAUCAUCCGUGCACCAAGUGCACACAAGUAAACACAAGAAGGUCUGGUGCUUUUCUGACAGGGCUCAUUUCAAAUGAGUUCAAAUGUGCUCUCUCGUUGAAGGUUUGGAGUUACUUCAGAGGACUGCCAGGUGUGUGGCUGCUCCCUUAGCAUAGGAAACAUGUUUCAGUAUUUCCUUUUAUCAGCUUCUUUAGCAUAGGAAACAUGUUUCAGUGUUUCCUUUUAUCAGCUUCUUUAGCAUAGGAAACAUGCUUCAAUGCUUCCUUUUAUUAGCUUCUUUAGCAUAGGAAACAUGUUUCAAUGCUUUCUUUUAUUAGCUUCUUUAGCAUAGGAAACAUGUUUCAAUGCUUCCUUUUAUCAGCUUCUUUAGCAUAGGAAACAUGUUUCAAUGCUUCCUUUUAUCAGCUUCUUUAGCAUAGGAAACAUGUUUCAAUCCUUUCUUUUAUUAGCUUCUUUAGCAUAGGAAACAUGUUUCAGGCUUCCUUUUAUCAGCUUCUUUAGCAUAGGAAACAUGUUUCAAUGCUUCCUUUUAUCAGCUUCUUUAGCAUAGGAAACAUGUUUCAGUGUUUCCUUUUAUCAGCUUCUUCAGCAUAGGACAGGUGCUUUAAUUCUUACUUAUAGCUCCUUCCGCAGAGGAAACACUGAACCUAAGAUAAUUCCGACCCACGAUGCCUUGCGGUGGCAACAUUUAAAGUGACGGAGGAGCAUAAACUGAGAUGAUGAAAAUGGUGUAAAUACAAACGGGACGGCACUGAGCUGCAACAUCAAUCAAAAAAUAAUAAGUGCAUUGUGGGUAUUUAUUUGAAAGUUUCGCUUCCUGAUUUGACCGUCUUUUGACCACUCUCUUUCCUCACGAGAUAAAAGGUCAUUUGAAAUUGAUAUUCUUUUUUUUUUUAAAACAGCCUAAAUAACAAAAUGUUUGAUGAUUAAAUCGCUAAUAUUUACGUGAUUUAAUGUUCCAUCUUUAACCCUUAAUGGUCCCGGGUCAAUACGAUGAACUCACACCCGCCGUCCUCGCUGUCUACCUUUUUUAUAUCGUGACCUUGCUGAACUGUGGGUAAUUCCCUUGGAGCGAAGUCUGCAAAAUGUGUGUGUGUGUGUGUGUACCCGUGUGUGCACCUGUGUGUGUAUGUGCGUGUACUUGUGUGUGUAUGUGCGUGUACCUAUGUGUGUGUACCUGUGUGUGUGUGCGUGUACCUGUGUGUGUCUGUGUGUACCUGUGUGUGUAUGUGCGUGUACCUAUGUGUGUGUACCUGUGUGUGUGUGUACUUGUGUGUACCUCUGUGUGUGUGUGUACCUCUGUGCGUGUGUGUACUUGUGUGUGUGCGUGUACUUGUGUGUGUACCUGUGUGUGUGUGUGUACUUGUACUUGUGUGUGUACCUGUGUGUGUGUGUGUACCUGUGUGUGCGUGUACCUGUGUGCGUGUACCUGUGUGUGUGUACCUGUGUGUACCCGUGUGUGUGUGUGUGUGUGUGUUGAGUUUCCAGUGGCUUGUUUGAGAUUCAACUACAUUCUUGAUUUCUGUAACUUGAGACAAUCAUAUAAUAUUUUGAAGGUUUUCCAUCCAAACUGCUUCUUUGGUUUGUUUUUAUGUCUCAUGACAUAAGAGUUUAUGACUCAUAAACGUUGUCGAAAGGAAAGUCACCAUCAGUCCCUGGUUCUAAAAUCGGAUGUCUGGUCUUGUUCUUUGUUUGAUUGAUAUUAAAACAAGAUCAAUAUGAAAAAUCUUUUCUCCAAAUUAUCUUUAGAUAAAGAUCAAAGCAAUUCCUCUCAAAGAAGGUUUCUUUGUAUUUGUGUAAUGUUGCCUAUUCUUUUUAAAAUGCCCAAUUUCAUUAUAUGUUAUUCUAAUUUAAGGUAUAAAACCUCAUGCAAUCUGCAUGACAGGUGGACACACUCACACACACGAGGACAUUUCUGUUGACACGUGUCCCGUACUGUUAGUGUCUCCCCCAGCAGUGGUGUGUACAUGCAGUAUGCAAAGGUGUGUGUGGUCACGCCAGCUGUAUGUGCGGGGUCUGAGGGAGGAAGUCGCCGUUGCCCUUGGGGGGAGGAGCAGACUCCCCCGCAGGGUGUAAGAGGUCCGAGGGGCCGCGGUCGGGUCCCUGGGACAGGAAGUUGAAAUGUUCUCCCUCAGGCUCCAGCUCGCACUUCCUGAUGAAGAGUUCCGUCCCCUCCCAGUCGCUGAGGUCGCCGCGGCCGGCGCCCGCGUGGCUGAGCGCGGCGGGGGGGGCAGAGGCGUGGUUGCUCAAAGGCCGGCUGAGGUUGCGCACGGAGAGGGACUUCCCGCCCCCCCAGUCCGAAGGCGUCUCAUCCGGGCUGGAUGAGAGCAGCAGCAGGGGGUUGUCCUCCAGGCUCAGGUGCCUCCUCCAGACCCCCUCGGACUUCAGGCCGGUCUUCUCCCGCAGCGGCGCCCGUCUAUGGGCGGGGCCCUCCUUGCCGCCCACCCCCUCGUGCUCAGGGUCCAGACCGGAUCCCCCCCUGAAAAAGGGGCCCAGGUCCCCCUGAUCCACCUCCUCGUCCGGGACCGGCUCGGCGGCGCAUCGGAGGUGGGAGGUGUGGUCCGUGGGGGGCAGCCGGAGGGUGAAGCCCCCUGUGGGGGGAGGUGGGGGCGGCAGGUCGGGGAAGUGCGGUCUCUUGGAGGUACAGUUGGGGGCCACCAAGUUUGGGUAAGGGCUGUCGGGGG
ensembl:lncRNA